UACAUGGGGUGCAAACGUUGCUCGGAAUUAUUGGGCGUAAAGCGCGCGUAGGCGGUUACUCAAGUCGGAUGUGAAAGCCCUCGGCUUAACUGAGGAAGUGCACCCGAAACUGAGUAGCUAGAGUACUAAAGAGGGUCGCGGAAUUCCCGGUGUAGAGGUGAAAUUCGUAGAUAUCGGGAGGAACACCGGUGGCGAAGGCGGCCUGCUGGACAGCACCUGACACUGAGACGCGAAAGCGUGGGUAGCAAACAGG
rnacentral:rRNA from 1 species